GUGUCAGCAGCCGCGGUAAUACGUAGGUGGCAAGCGUUGUCCGGAUUUACUGGGCGUAAAGGAUGUGCAGGCGGAUAUUUAAGUGAGAUGUGAAAUCCCAGGGCUUAACUUGGGGGCUGCAUUUCAAACUGGGUGUCUGGAGUGCAGGAGAGGAAAGCAGAAUUCCUAGUGUAGCGGUGAAAUGCGUAGAGAUUAGGAAGAAUACCAGUGGCGAAGGCGAGUUUCUGG
rnacentral:rRNA from 1 species